CCCAUCGCGAGAUGGGAUCUGAAGGAAGCCGAUGCCCCUGAACUCGGACUCGACGAACAGAAACCGGAUAUGAGGCCGGCGUGGUGGGGUAACCCGGCAAUGGACGGGGACGCCCGAUCGUCAUCCGGACACGCACGCGGGUAGAUCCGGCGAGGGCCGAGCGAAAUCCACACGAC
rfam:Planctomycetes bacterium SCN 63-9 ABS79_C0189, whole genome shotgun sequence.